GCCGGGGUGGCGGAACCAGGUAGACGCGGCGGACUUAAAAUCCGCUGGAGUAAUCCGUGCCGGUUCGAUUCCGGCCCUCGGCA
rnacentral:tRNA from 1 species